rnacentral:rRNA from 1 species
AUUGAACGCUGGCGGCAGGCCUAACACAUGCAAGUCGAACGAGUGGCGGACGGGUGAGUAAUGCCUGGGAAACUGCCCGAUGGUGGGGGAUAACUCCUGGAAACUUUAGCUAAUACCGCCUACUAUCAGAUGUGCCCAGAUGGGAUUAGCUAGUGGGUGGGGUAAAGGCGUACCAAGGCGACGAUCCGUAUCUGGUCUGAGAGGAUGACAAGCCACACUGGAACUGAGACACGGUCCAGACGCCUACGGGAGGCAGCAGUGGGGAAUAUUGGACAAUGGGCGAAAGCCUGAUGCAGCCAUGCCGCGUGUAUGAAGAAGGCCUUCGGGUUGUAAAGUACUUUAAGCGGGGAGGCGUUACCAGCAGAAGAAGCACCGGCUAACUCCGUGCCAGCAGCCGCGGUAAUUC